rnacentral:rRNA from 1 species
AUUGAACGCUGGCGGCAUGCUUUACACAUGCAAGUCGAACGGUAACAGGUUAAGCUGACGAGUGGCGAACGGGUGAGUAAUGCAUCGGAACGUGCCCGAUCGUGGGGGAUAACGCAGCGAAAGCUGCGCUAAUACCGCAUACGAUCUGAGGAUGAAAGCGGGGGACCGUAAGGCCUCGCGCGAUCGGAGCGGCCGAUGUCAGAUUAGGUAGUUGGUGGGGUAAAGGCUCACCAAGCCAACGAUCUGUAGCUGGUCUGAGAGGACGACCAGCCACACUGGGACUGGGACACGGCCCAGACUCCUACGGGAGGCAGCAGUGGGGAAUUUUGGACAAUGGGCGAAAGCCUGAUCCAGCAAUGCCGCGUGCAGGAAGAAGGCCUUCGGGUUGUAAACUGCUUUUGUACGGAGCGAAAAGGCUCUCUCUAAUACAGGGGGCUCAUGACGGUACCGUAAGGAUAAGCACCGGCUAACUACGUGCCAGCAGCCGCCGUAAUAC